GCUGAGGCUGCCUGCAUGAUCUGAAACUACCAUGCGCUUCCCAAGCUGUUUCUCUGUCUCAUUGGCUUCCCAUCCGUUUCCAGUAGCGCCCGCCGUGUCUCCUGGCGUGCGUUAUUUCUUGUGUCUGACCUUCUCUGCAGCUCAUCCUGUCUGAGUGUAUAGCUCA
rnacentral:miRNA from 1 species